rnacentral:rRNA from 1 species
UUUAUGGAGAGUUUGAUCCUGGCUCAGGAUGAACGCUGGCGGCGUGCCUAAUACAUGCAAGUCGAGCGAACGGACGAGAAGCUUGCUUCUCUGAUGUUAGCGGCGGACGGGUGAGUAACACGUGGAUAACCUACCUAUAAGACUGGGAUAACUUCGGGAAACCGGAGCUAAUACCGGAUAAUAUUUUGAACCGCAUGGUUCAAAAGUGAAAGACGGUCUUGCUGUCACUUAUAGAUGGAUCCGCGCUGCAUUAGCUAGUUGGUAAGGUAACGGCUUACCAAGGCAACGAUGCAUAGCCGACCUGAGAGGGUGAUCGGCCACACUGGAACUGAGACACGGUCCAGACUCCUACGGGAGGCAGCAGUAGGGAAUCUUCCGCAAUGGGCGAAAGCCUGACGGAGCAACGCCGCGUGAGUGAUGAAGGUCUUCGGAUCGUAAAACUCUGUUAUUAGGGAAGAACAUAUGUGUAAGUAACUGUGCACAUCUUGACGGUACCUAAUCAGAAAGCCACGGCUAACUACGUGCCAGCAGCCGCGGUAAUACGUAGGUGGCAAGCGUUAUCCGGAAUUAUUGGGCGUAAAGCGCGCGUAGGCGGUUUUUUAAGUCUGAUGUGAAAGCCCACGGCUCAACCGUGGAGGGUCAUUGGAAACUGGAAAACUUGAGUGCAGAAGAGGAAAGUGGAAUUCCAUGUGUAGCGGUGAAAUGCGCA